CUAAAUCGAAUGCAAGAGAGCGAAAGCAAAUAGAGCAGUGAAGGAGAAAGAAGGAGGAAUGAGGCAAUGGUGCUAAUAGAGGCCACUGUGGAUGCUAGAUCUGCCACUGAAGAAGAAAGUCGUUCGAGAGAGGGGAGCUUCCAACGAGGCAUAUGCUACUCUGUUGUACGGUGAGGAAUCCUUAUAAUCCAGUCGGUGAAUGACAGCUUCAAGUUCCACUCCUCCAUGAUAUUGUAGAUUCAAGAACCAGUUUGGAGUUUUAUGUGAAGGUCACCAUUAUGCCAGAUUUAAGAAACAGAUUUACACGAAAGUCACCAUUAUGGACUGGGAUUCGGGAUUUGUUCAACCGCCUCUGAAUCGAAUGCGAGCGAAAGCAAAUAGAGCAGUAAGGGAGAAAGAAGGAGGUUAGAUUGAGAAAGAAAGGAGGAAUGAGUCAAUGACAUAUUCUACUCUGUUGUACGGUGAGAAAUUUUUUCUUGGGAAAUUGAUUUGCAACAGUAGAUCCAAGAAGGACAUGUUUGUUGUGAUCUCGAAUGGAGUCUCUGAUUGCCUGCAACCUCCCCCAGGGAUUAAUUAAUGUGAAUUAUGAAUCAGAAAUGGAACACGAAUUUAUUUCUGUAUUUCGGAAGGGAUGGAGAGGUCCUUAUGUUGUUGUUUCUCUGGAUAGGGUUGUGGAUGUUGAUAGAAAUCUAGGAGAUGAAAAGUUGGUUACUGAUGGAUUUCAAGAACCCAUAGAUACGUUAGAAUCACUGACAUUAGAUUUUGAGGCCAGUGAAUUUGAGCAAUAGAACAUCUGAGGUGGUGAUUGUCUCUCAUGGAGUCUUUGAUUAUGCCAACAAUGUCCUCCAGGAACAACUUCUCUGACAAAGCUCAAGGUGUGAAAUCUGUUGCAAUGUGCUCCGGCUGAAGUUGCACCUGCCAAAGCGCUACAGAAUUUACAUUAUGAAUGUCAGAAGUAAAUCCCUCUCUUGCUGAGGAGGCACUACAGGAACUCAUGAACAAGAUAGCCAAUCUAAAAAUCAAACAAGAAGAUUUGAAUUUGAAAGUAAAGCGUAGUAUAAAAUAGAAGAAAAUGAUAUUUUUCGAGCAAAUUAUUUGUUCUAGGAGAUGGAUUAUGCAAACUUGAGUGUUAUUGUUGGAAACAAGGGAACUUAAGUGAUAAAUUGUGGAUUAUGCAAAAAAUCUAAACGUGGUCAAGUUAGUGUUGCACAAAAUAUUUUAACAUUUAAAAAUAAUUUGCAAUUACUAUAUGUUUCUUUUUCUUAUAGUACUUGCUUGAACUUGUGAGAAAUGUAAUAUCAUUAUUUUUAGCAUAAAUUCAGUAUUUUAGUUGAUGAAAAUUUCAAAAAAAAAUUAGUUUUAGUUUAUAAUUAACAUUGUAAAAAGUUGUGAAAGGAGUUGCAAUAACUUUUAAGUUUAUCGCAUACUAAAUUUAAUUUAGAAAUGGAGUUGAAGAAACUAAAUAAAAUAUUUUAGUAUGAUUAGUUUAGUAUAGCUUAAACAUAAUUCAAUAUUUCUAAAGCAUAUGUAUUUAUUAUUUUCUGUAGUUAUGCCAUAGUAGAAAAUUGUCGUAGAGAAAUUGUCACAAAAACUAUGUGCAUGUGGAAACAUAAUAACAAUUUUAUUAGCAUAUAAAAAAAACAAAUUUGUAGGUCUAUAUGGGAUGAAGAAACAAAUUUUAUAAUAGAAAAAAAAAGGUUUGGAAUAAAACAUAAAUUGAUAAAUAUAAUUUUUUAUGCAUUUUAUCUGAUUCAAAGUGUAGUUAGGAUUAAAAAACAAUGACUAUUACAUCAAUAUGGUAAUUAUAAAAUAAAGAAAAAGAUUAAUAUAUUCAUAAACUUUUAUAUUCACGCAUUAUGUAUUUAAAUUUGUGAUGAGGUUUGUUAUUUUUUUGGAAGGGAAGAACCUUUCUUCGUAUCUAUUUAAGAGAGUGUGGUUGCUUUUGGGAACAAAGAUGGUUGAAGAAGUAAAAUUUUUUUAUUUUUUUUGUUAAA